rnacentral:rRNA from 1 species
UACGGGGGGAGCAAGCGUUGUUCGGAUUUACUGGGCGUAAAGGGCGCGUAGGCGGUCAGCACAAGUCAGUUGUGAAAUCUCCGGGCUUAACUCGGAAAGGUCAACUGAUACUGUGCGACUAGAGUGCGGAAGGGGCAACUGGAAUUCUCGGUGUAGCGGUGAAAUGCGUAGAUAUCGAGAGGAACACCUGCGGCGAAGGCGGGUUGCUGGGCCGACACUGACGCUCAGGUGCGAAAGCUAGGGGAGCGAACGGG